CUAAAAUUGAAUCAAUUUCAAGUCAUGAUGAUGUAGGGAUUUGCUUAAUUUACUUUAAACAUGAACCAAUAUUGGAUUAAGACAUUUUUACUCCAUAGCAAGAGUAAUGCUAACAAUAAACUUAGAUAUAUAUAUCUAUUUAUCUUUUUCUUUAAGGUAUUAAUCCUCCUCAGAAAGUUCAUGCUAACCCUGAAGAUGUAGGAGAGGACAGUAUAAUUCUUCAGUGGGAAUCCCCACAAGAUGGCCACGAGGUCUAUAUUCAAAUCAGAUCUGUAUUGGAUACAAGAGAAGUCAUGAAGCUUUUUGUAAAGGAUGCUAAUAGAUUCAAGAUUGAUAAUUUAACCCCUGGAAUGACAUAUGACAUUGGAAUGGCAAUAGUGAUGAAUGGGAACUUGAGUGAGCUGGUAACUAUUCAACAAACUCUAAUACUGGCUCUGGGUAAACUGGAGGAAUCACAUUAUCAAAUACAGUGUCAUUGACUUAGAACAAGUUUCAUUACAUCAAACCAGAUGUCACAAAGAAAACUGAAAAGCAAACUAUGUCUAAUUAUUCUUUGGAGGAAAAAAUAUUUCUUCAGAAUGUCUGUCUUAGAAGAAGAUACCUCCUUGGAAGAAAGACAGAUCUAAGGAUAUGCUGGGUAGUAUUUCAAUAACCCACAAAUGAAAUUGAAAUUAAAAUUGACCUGAGGAAAAAAAUAAUGUGAAUAGAAGUCAUCUAAAAUUUCAAAUCUGCUCUAAAUAGUACAGUGGAGAAUUGCAGUACAAGAAAGCUCUCACGUAGAGGUCAGCGAGAGUGUGAAAUAGCCCAAGCCAGUCCAGAUUGUCAUCCCAUAUGAAAGUCAUAGCACCUCUGUAAUCUUAUUUGUUCAAAUGCCUGAUAUUGGAGUGUUUGAUGGCAUACAUAUUGCAAUCGAAGGAGGGCCAAAUGUAACUAAGCCCUUGAAACAUGACAAUAAAAUAACUGUUGGCAAUUUAACCCCAGGCACGGAGUAUAAUUUCUUUGUUUCCAUCACCAGUGGGACUAAAUUAAGUAAUACGUAUUACGUGCAUGCAGUAAAAACAUGUCCAGAAGGUAGUUCGAGAAGCAGCAACAUUCUCUAACCUGGAUCCUGCCACAGUGUACACUUUCUCAAUUCGCACUGAAAAAGAAGGUUUUAAAGACAGCACUCCUCAUAUAAAAGAAAUACAGACAGGUACAGCCUGUGUAAUAAGCACUUUAGGGUAUUAUUCAGCGUUCAAGUAUUUAUUUCAUUCUUUAGGGAAGAUUUUUUUUUUUCUUUAGGGAAGAUUUGGUAAAUAGUUUAUUCUUCCCAGAUUUUCUUUAGGGGCAGGCAGUGUCUUCUCUUGUCUCUUUUUUCUGUUUCCCCUUAUCUGGGUUAGAAUAACCUCUUUUGUACAUGCCUUGCCAGGCAGUAGAG
rnacentral:lncRNA from 1 species